rnacentral:rRNA from 1 species
GCCGUUCUCAGUUCGGAUCGGAGUCUGCAACCCGACUCCGUGAAGCUGGAUUCGCUAGUGAUCGCGCAUCAGCCAUGGCGCGGUGAAUACGUUCCCGGGCCUUGUACACACCGCCCGUCAAGCCAUGGGAGCCGGGGGUGCUUGAAGUGCGUCGCCGCAAGGCGCGCCCUAGAGCAAAACCGGUGACUGGGGCUAAGUCGUAACAAGGUACC